GUACGCGUACUGGCGCUCCAGCCAACGUUCACACGCUUGCGCCUUUACGCAUUCUUAUUGGCACUCUCUAGUGAGUCUCCUGUUUUUUGUCGAUUCGUGUGCGACUUGCGCAGUCUGAGCAGUCUUUGGGUGGCCGGCGUUCAGCUCUGGUUUCGUCGAAGAGUCGCAAGCGUCCAGCGAGAUCCGAUUCACCAACGAGGCGCGUUGCCUUUCCGGAUGAGCCUGCCACACCCUCUACACCGGCUGCGCAACCGGACAGCGAGUCUGAGCGACGCUCGGCAUGUUUACAGGCUUUCCGUGCCAGCAGCACCGGCACACCGUGGAGCACGUUCGGCAGCUCGCUGGACUCGAUCCUGGCGACGCCUGUGGUGGCGCGCAUCUGCCCAUCCAGCAGUUGCACGGACGACGCUACUUCACACGCCACUGCACCGGCCAAGAGCAACGAGGACCAGCACACGCUGAGUUCUGGGAAAGGAGCCAACCGGACUGCAAGUGGCCGCGUUGAGUGAGAUGCGCGGUGGACUCAAGAACAAUAUUGCUCAGUUUAUCGAGCACGAAGAUAUUUCGGUAGCCUAUCAACCUAUUCAUCGACUACUCCCAGGACAAGCCUCACGGCCAACCGUUUUGUUACGCAACAGUAACCUUAUUACUGACAUCCGUUUUAGAUAAUAAAUAUUACCGCAUACAUGCUGUGACACAACACAGAAAACA
rnacentral:lncRNA from 1 species